ACGGUCAUACCAUGCUGAAAACAUCGGUUUUCAUCCGAUCACCGAAGUUGUGCAUUAUUGGACUCUAUCAGUACUUGGAAGGGUGACAACCUGAGAACACUGCCUGCC